UCUUCAUUCCGCGCACUCUCUCAUCAGUCAGAGAGGCGAGAGAGUACACAGAAUGAAGAGA
rnacentral:pre_miRNA from 1 species